rnacentral:rRNA from 1 species
AUUGAACGCUGGCGGCAGGCCUAACACAUGCAAGUCGAGCGGGGUUUUCGGACCUAGCGGCGGACGGGUGAGUAAUGCGUAGGAAGCUACCCGAUAGAGGGGGAUACCAGUUGGAAACGACUGUUAAUACCGCAUAAUGUCUACGGACAAAAGUGUGGGACCUUCGGGCAACAUGCUAUCGGAUGCGCCUACGUGGGAUUAGCUAGUUGGUGGGGUAAUGGCUCACCAAGGCGACGAUCCCUAGCUGGUUUGAGAGGAUGAUCAGCAACACUGGAACUGAGGCACGGUCCAGACUCCGACGGGAGGCAGCAGUGGGGAAUAUUGGACAAUGGGCGCAAGCCUGAUCCAGCCAUGCCGCGUGUGUGAAGAAGGCCUUCGGGUUGUAAAGCACUUUCAGUAGGGAGGAAGGGUUAAGUGUUAAUAGUACUUAACUUUGACGUUACCUACAGAAGAAGCACCGGCUAACUCUGUGCCAGCCGCCGCGGUAACAC